CCUACGGGAGGCAGCAGUAGGGAAUCUUGCGCAAUGGGCGAAAGCCUGACGCAGCCAUGCCGCGUGAAUGAUGAAGGUCUUAGGAUUGUAAAAUUCUUUCACCGGGGACGAUAAUGACGGUACCCGGAGAAGAAGCCCCGGCUAACUUCGUGCCAGCAGCCGCGGUAAUACGAAGGGGGCUAGCGUUGCUCGGAAUUACUGGGCGUAAAGGGAGCGUAGGCGGAUAGUUUAGUCAGAGGUGAAAGCCCAGGGCUCAACCUUGGAAUUGCCUUUGAUACUGGCUAUCUUGAGUAUGGGAGAGGUGAGUGGAACUCCGAGUGUAGAGGUGAAAUUCGUAGAUAUUCGGAAGAACACCAGUGGCGAAGGCGACUCACUGGCCCAUUACUGACGCUGAGGCUCGAAAGCGUGGGGAGCAAACAGGAUUAGAUACCCUGGUAGUCCACGCCGUAAACGAUGAGUGCUAGUUGUCGGCAUGCAUGCAUGUCGGUGACGCAGACUACGACAUAAGUCACCUCCGCCGUCGGGGUAGGUACGGUCGGCGAAGAAGUUAAAACUAACAAAUAGUAAGUUAGACGGCGUGAGACGUGCCGACGGACGACGACGAGGGAGGUUAGG
rnacentral:rRNA from 1 species